CUCGGGUGGCAGCAGUGGGGAAUAUUGGACAAUGGGCGAAAGCCUGAUCCAGCCAUGCCGCGUGUGUGAAGAAGGCCUUCGGGUUGUAAAGCACUUUCAGUGGGGAAGAAAGCCUUGGGGCUAAUACCCUCGAGGAAGGACAUCACCCACAGAAGAAGCACCGGCUAACUCCGUGCCAGCAGCCGCGGUAAUACGGAGGGUGCGAGCGUUAAUCGGAAUUACUGGGCGUAAAGCGCGCGUAGGCGGUCUGAUAAGCCGGUUGUGAAAGCCCCGGGCUCAACCUGGGAACGGCAUCCGGAACUGUCAGGCUAGAGUGCAGGAGAGGAAGGUAGAAUUCCCGGUGUAGCGGUGAAAUGCGUAGAGAUCGGGAGGAAUACCAGUGGCGAAGGCGGCCUUCUGGACUGACACUGACGCUGAGGUGCGAAAGCGUGGGUAGCAAACAGGAUUAGAUACCCCGGUAGUC
rnacentral:rRNA from 1 species